rnacentral:rRNA from 1 species
UUUAUUGAGAGUUUGAUCCUGGCUCAGGACGAACGCUGGCGGCGUGCCUAACACAUGCAAGUCGAGCGAUGAAGUU